GACGAACGCUGGCGGCGUGCUUAACACAUGCAAGUCGAACGAAGUGGCGAACGGGUGAGUAACGCGUAAUCAACCUGCCCUUCAGAGGGGGUCACCAGUUGGAAACGAAUGCUAUUACCGCAUACUGAAGGAGGGGAUUGCGGCUGGUUGGCUGGGUGGAGGGGUAACGGCCCACCAAGGCGAUGAUUAGUAGGCUGUCUGAGAUGAUGAACGGUCACAUUGGGACUGAGACACGGACCAGGCUCCUACGGGCGGGAGCAGGGGGGAAGCGUCCGCAAUGGACGAAAGUCUGACGGAGCAACGCCGCGUGAGUGAUGACGGCCUUCGGGUUGUAAAGCUCUGUUAAUCGGGACGCGGUACCGGAAUAGAAAGCCACGGCUAACUACGUGCCAGCAGCCGCGGUAAUUC
rnacentral:rRNA from 1 species